rnacentral:rRNA from 1 species
GACGAACGCUGGCGGCGUGCUUAACACAUGCAAGUCGAGCGGUAAGGCCCUUUCGGGGGUACACGAGCGGCGAACGGGUGAGUAACACGUGGGUGACCUGCCCUUACGCUCUGGGAUAAGCCUGGGAAACUGGGUCUAAUACCGGAUAUGACUCCAUAACGCAUGUUGUGGGGUGGAAAGCCUUGUGCGGCUAGGGAUGGGCCCGCGGCCUAUCAGCUUGUUGGUGGGGUGAUGGCCACCAAGGCGACGACGGGUAGCCGGCCUGAGAGGGCGACCGGCCACACUGGGACUGAGACACGGCCCAGACUCCUACGGGAGGCAGCAGUGGGGAAUCUUGCGCAAUGGGCGAAAGCCUGACGCAGCGACGCCGCGU